CAGAGUUUCAAGUCCUUGGUCAGAGCAUGGAUUUCUUUGGAAACCUGUCACAAUGGCAUGAAAAGAGGAUGAUUUUGAAAAAUGGGACAGCCCACGAGUUACAGUAUACUGGACAGGACGGUAACCCUGCUUGCAGGUUGUUUGUCUGUCACGUAUUGUUUUCCAAACACUGCGCUGUCCGGAUCUCUCUCAAUCUCCCUGUGGCGUAUUGAAGUGGAUGUGCCAUGCCUCAACUUGUUCAGCGAGAGGCAGCAAUUUAUUACCGCCAAUCCUUUUUCCUCAACCGUUCACUAAAAACCUUCAUUUUGCUGUUGUGGAGCUCUGAGGGUGCAUCUCUUACUCAAGUUUAUUGAAGAGAGGGGACGUCAGAGCCUUGGGGCCAUAUGAUGGAUAAAUAAAAUCAAUGUAUCAAAGGUUGUUCCGUCAAAAGCUUGGCCUGUUGUUCUUGAACAUUUUAAAUUGGUUUUAUUUGGCAUUGUUAGAUGCUUUCUGUGGAAACCUUGGGUUGCCACCUGCCGUCUGUAAAUUGUUUGCUAAUCAGCAGAAUUGGUGUAAUGGGAGUUUAUCGCGUUAAUUUUACUUGACGUGUAUGCAAACAUCACCAU